UACGUAGGGAGCAAGCGUUGUCCGGAUUUACUGGGUGUAAAGGGUGCGUAGGCGGCUUUACAAGUCAGGCGUGAAAUAUAUGGGCUUAACCCAUAGACUGCGUUUGAAACUGUAGAGCUUGAGUGAAGUAGAGGUAGGCGGAAUUCCCGGUGUAGCGGUGAAAUGCGUAGAGAUAGGGAGGAACACCAGUGGCGAAGGCGGCCUACUGGGCUUUAACUGACGCUGAGGCACGAAAGCAUGGGUAGCAAACAGGAUUAGAUACCCUGGUAGUCCAUGCCGUAAACGAUGAUUACUAGGUGUGGGGGGUCUGACCCCUUCCGUGCCGGAGUUAACACAAUAAGUAAUCCACCUGGGGAGUACGGCCGCAAGGUUGAA
rnacentral:rRNA from 1 species